CAAGCUGCUGGAAGCCUUUUCUCCACACUGGUGUACUGAGCUGUUCACCUCCACUAGAGGGCCACAUCAUCAAGUAGGCGGUGCACGACUUCUGCACUGUGUUCAACCAUUCAGUCAAUAAUAAGUGCUGCUGUGAAGAGAACAAUCCUCACCCUGAAUGCUGAGCAUCAGCUACUUCCUGCUGCUGAUUUAAACCUUGUUGUAGAGAUGGAACAUUGGCUGUGGAUUAUUCUUGCUGCUCUCUCCUUUGAGUGUAAAGGACAAGACACAGUGACCCAGCCAGCAGGAGAAGUGAGCGCUGCUGAAGGAGACACACUUACACUUGACUGCACAUUUAAGACCAGUGACAAUCUCCCUCUCUGUUCUGGUACAAACAAGAAGUCAAUGGUUACCCAAAGUACAUGCUGAAGAGAGUCUCAGGAAUUGAGAUAAUGCUCCAGAGUUCCAGAAAGACAGAUUUGAUGCUUCAAUCAACAAGACAUCAGUUCCUCUGCAGAUCUCCUCUGCUGCAGUGACAGACUCUGCUGUGUACUACUGUGCUCUGAGCCCACAGUGACAGGAAACACCAACACUCUGUACAAAAACCUUUGGAGCAAAGACAACACAA